rnacentral:SRP_RNA from 1 species
GCCGAGCAUAGUGGCGUGUGCCUGUAGUCCCAGCUACUCGGGAGGCUGAGGCAGGAGAAUCACUUGAACCUGGGAGGUGAAGGUUGCAGUGAGUUGAGAUUGUGCCACUGCACUCCAGCCUGGGUGCUGGAGUGCAGCGGUGCUAUCUCGGCUCACUGCAACCUCCGCCUCCUAGGUUCAAGUGAUUCUCCUGCCUCAG